GCCUGGGUAGCUCAGUUGGUAGAGCACUUGCCCGUGAAAGGCAAAGGUCCCGAGUUCGAGUCUCGGUCCGGCACA
rnacentral:tRNA from 1 species